GCUGGACACUCUCUGUCCAAAACCCUGCUGUCAGAUGAAUUGUGAUGAAUCAAAAAUUAUCUCCACAAGACUAGUGAUGAAUCUGUGACCUCUGAAUCUGUGACGGGUCAGCAUGUAGCAUCUCCAGGACCCAGCUGUGUGUCUCUGAAAAGCAAUCAUUCAGUUGAGCAUCCUCCAGAUAUCAGUGGUGAAGCACAAUCUACAACGACAGCAUCUCUGAAAAGGAAUCAUUCAGCUGAGCAUCCCAUGAAUCUCAAUGAUGAAGCACAAUCUACAAUUGCAUAUAAAGAGGAGGAUGAUCUCCUACAGAGAGUCAAAGAGAGACACAAA